GAACAGACUAAAACAUUUUGCCAGGGCAAAGCUGUGGACUGGUCCUGUCCCCACCGAAGACCAGCAAUGACAUGUUGGUAUAACAGGCUGGAGGAGAACAGCCUCAGAAGUGAUAAGUGACAGCUAUGUGGAACACUUGCCAUGGCCCCGUCGUUGACAAGAUGUGGUUGGUGAUGGGUUGAGUCAUGUGUGUGCUUCUUGCUUAGCACUAUAAAAGGCCGAACGGAGGAACCACAGACAUCAAUGUGACUUCAGGAGGCAGCACAGCCCAUGAACCUUAGUUAUUGCAACAUCUGUGGAAUAGAUACUAUGAUUACCCCCAAUCUGUGGGUCAGCAGAGGAAUAAGGAAGGUCCCCCUUCCUACCCAGUGUCAUUCACACCUCCAUCCCGACAGACGGAGACAUAAAAAGGACAAGCUAGAAGAGGCAUAAAGACAUGGACUUCAAAGGGAUGUUGGAGGUAUGUCCUGUUUGGAGUAGAUGUGUCCUUAUCGGAGAACGUGUGUCAUGGAGGCUUUGAGGUUACAGAAGCACAGAAGCUCAAGCCAGGCUCAGUGUGUCAGUCUGUCUUCCAGUCUGGUCUACAGAGUAAGUUCCAGGACAGACAAACUUAGGCAGUGAAGAAAACCAUCAAAACCAGAAACCCGGUGAAAACGUAUUUGAACAAGGGGGCUAUGUUUCAGCCCCAGCAAGAAGUAGAACCUGGCAGCUUUGGCCACAUAGGUCUGGCUUUAACGUCAGGGAUACAAGAAAGGAGUUAUGGAAUCUCCCUCCUUGUCUAAGGAAAGUCGAUGAGGCCAGAAGUGUGUCGUCGGUGUCUCUUCAUGGAGGCCUAGAGAGACGAUUGUGUGAAGUUGUGAAGGUGAAGCCUGGGUUGCUAUGGAGACCCCAAGAUGCUAGAGAUGAGAAAGCAGUGGAUACCUAUCAAGGAAAGCUGGUUGUUUUUCAGCCGCCUCAUGAGGAACUAUUUAACUCUUGAAUAUGGUGGUCACUGUGAGACAACUGCAGACAGCUGUGUGGGCAUUUCAGUGGCUGCUUCCAAAGAAGUGGCCUGGGAAGUAUGAAGCAGUCACUCCCUAUAAAACCAGAAAGGAAGAGUGGGACAAAGGAGGAAAUCAGCUGUUGGAGCAACAGAGGAUUUAGACACUGACAAAAUGCCAACCGUUAGGGACAGUAGCGGAGCCACGCAGCCGGGAGUCUGCCCACCCUGUUGCUUCUUUUGCCACAGCAAUUUGAUAAAACCUAUUUCGGGAAGGAAUGUCCUCGGAACUGGAGUGUCUUCAACUCCCAAGGUUUCCUCUGAAUGAUUGGUCAACAGGUGUCAAAGAGCUGGUGGCAGAAAUAUUCCAGACCCCUCUGUCGUUCUAAUUUUACACCUGCUUAAGUGGCAGAGUUCGAAUGUAUUGCUUCUUGAACAAGGAAGCCUUUUAUUUGUUUCUGCAGGGGGAAAAAAAGAGAGGCAAAUAAAGUGUGGAUGAAGUAGUGUUUCCAUAGAUACACAUAUGGGUGCAUUGUGAUCACAGCCUCUUUUCUUAUUUUUAAGCUGCAUAUUGAAGUUAUGACCACACAAUUCAAACCUAUAGAGAUCUCAUAUAGAAUGGGAGCUCUCUGGAAGAAAAGAUGUUGGCAUACAUUAAUUUGAACCAUACCCAAAGCUAUCAUGACUUUCUAAAAACUUGUUACGGAUGCAAAAUUAAAUAGUAUUAAUUUUGUUUUUAUUUUAACAACAGUGCGUGCAAAUUAGGCUCCUGAAAUGGCAAUCAGUUCAGUGUCUGAAAAAAGAAAGCAAAUGUGAAACAAUCGGAUAGGUUAUUAAACUCUUUAGUGGCUGUAGACCUAAUGGAUUCAGAGGUGGUUAUCCUCACAGUAUCUCUAUCUAGUAGAUAGUCUGACACGCUCUGAAACUUGAAGAGACUAUGCCUGCCCACAGUUUAUUAUCACCACUUUAAUGCUAUGGACCAUGCUAAGUCCUUAUGCUCAGUAGUCAAUAUUCUUAAAAUACUUGCUCUGUAUAAUCAGCUCUCUUGCCAGAUGUUAGCAUCAUAGAAAUGAAGUAUAAAAGCCUACAACACAAUGAGAAACUUGCUAUUGUAGAUUUGACCAUCCUAUUCUGAUCAUUGCCUGGUUCAACAGUCUCCAUGUUUCAGUUUGCCUUAUUUGUAGAGGGAGCCAACAAGGCCUUGAUUAAAUGUGUAAAGAACA
rnacentral:lncRNA from 1 species